rnacentral:rRNA from 1 species
AAACUUUCAACAACGGAUCUCUUGGUUCCGGCAUCGAUGAAGAACGCAGCGAAAUGCGAUAAGUAAUGUGAAUUGCAGAAUUCCGUGAAUCAUCGAAUCUUUGAACGCACAUUGCGC